AAGUGCCAUUCCGUCAGGGAGCAGAAAGAGGGAGGCAGACCAGACCGUGAGUGUGUGAGUGCGUGGUGCUGUGGAGCAGAGAGAGUGUGUGUGUGCGUGUGUAGCGUCUGUCUGACUCUGUACAUCUUGAUUGAGACAUUAGCUAGAAGUAGACUCGCGUCGGGAGGAGCAGUUUUUUUUUGUCUUUUUGGCAAUAAAGAGGGAGGGAGAGAGAAAUAUGCCAGCAUUUUUUAAGCCGAGAUUCAUUUAGCCUAGCUAGCCUCCUGAGCGAGCGUGAGGUGUGUUUAUUAGUGUUACUGGGUUAGUGGUGUAGCCUCGUUUUUGCCCAAAGCAAGAAAAAUCACAUAUUUUAUUGUUUGAGUGUUGAGAAAAGGAAAGACAGACCGAGUUUUUUUUACAUGAUCUGAGGAUAAAUUGGACGAUAUUUUUUUCCCUGUCGUUGCAACAACUGAAAAAAAAACACAAAAACGACGGUUUGGUUCGUUUUUGUCGGUUGAUGUGCGUGGCGCUGAGCACGCGCACAUUAGGCUAACGGUCGAGCCCACAACAAACUCCUCCCCCUCCACCUUCUCUCCUCCUCUCCCUUCCCACCUCCACCCCCCCUCCAUCACCGCCCCCCCCUUUCCCCUAUGCUCAGUUCCGUGUGUGUCUCCUCAUUCAAAGGGCGCAAGGGUGGGAACAAGUCGUCCAACAAAGCAUGUUACAGCGCCGACAUGCCUUGCCCGUCGGACAGCGAGAGAAUCGUGAUCAACUGCGGCGGCGUGCGCCACGAGACGUACCGCAGCACGCUCAAGACGCUGCCCGGCACGCGCCUCUCGUGGCUCACUGAGCCGGACGCGUUCAGCAACUUCGACUACGACCCCAAGGCCGACGAGUUCUUCUUCGACCGGCACCCGUCCGUCUUCUCCUUCAUCCUCAACUACUACCGCACGGGCAAGCUGCACUGUCCCAACGACGUGUGCGGGCCGCUGUUCGAGGAGGAGCUCGCCUUCUGGGGCAUCGACGAGACGGACGUGGAGGCGUGCUGCUGGAUGAACUACCGGCAGCACCGCGACGCCGAGGAAGCGCUCGACAGCUUCGAGAGCCCCGAGCCGGACGCGCCUGACGACGACGCGGCUCUGGCCGGCGGCGCGGACGGCGACCUCAAGCGCCUCUGCCUGCAGGAGGACGGGAGGAAAGUGGGCUGGUGGCGCGUCUGGCAGCCCCGAAUCUGGGCGCUUUUUGAUGACCCCUACUCGUCUAAAUACGCACGGUAUGUGGCAUUCGGGUCCCUCCUCUUCAUCCUCAUUUCCAUCUCAACAUUCUGCAUGGAGACCCAUGAAGCCUUCAACACCAUCUACAACAAGACGGAGAACGUGACGGUGGGCAACGUGACACGGGAAGAGAUUGUCUACGAGGUGGUGACAGACAGCUGGCUGACGUACGUGGAGGGCGUGUGUGUGGUGUGGUUCACCAUCGAGGUGUUUACCCGUGUUGUCUUCUGCCCAGACAAGGCUGAGUUCUUCAAGAGUUUGCUGAAUAUCAUCGACUUUGUGGCCAUCCUUCCCUUCUACCUGGAGGUGGGCCUGAGUGGCCUGUCCUCCAAGGCGGCCAAGGAUGUGCUGGGCUUCCUGCGGGUGGUCCGAUUUGUCCGGAUCCUACGUAUUUUCAAGCUUACCCGGCACUUCGUGGGCCUGCGAGUGCUGGGCCACACCCUCCGCGCCAGCACCAACGAGUUCCUGCUGCUCAUCAUCUUCCUUGCCCUGGGGGUACUCAUCUUCGCCACUAUGAUCUACUACGCAGAACGCAUAGGGGCCAACCCUGAUGACCCCACGGCCAGCGCCCACACCAACUUCAAGAACAUCCCCAUCGGCUUCUGGUGGGCUGUGGUCACCAUGACGACCCUGGGCUAUGGUGACAUGUACCCUGAGACAUGGUCUGGGAUGCUGGUGGGUGCUCUGUGUGCCCUGGCUGGUGUGCUGACCAUUGCCAUGCCUGUCCCUGUCAUCGUCAACAACUUCGGCAUGUACUACUCCCUGGCUAUGGCCAAACAGAAGCUGCCCAAGAAGAAGAAUAAACACAUUCCACGAGCUCCGCAGCCCGGCUCGCCCAACUACUGCAAGCCUGAUGCCCUGGCCAUGGCCACUGCCUCACCCCAGAGGAUCCUGGGUAACGUGCUAGGCGGGGUAAUAGGCUCAGGACUGACGGGAGACUGCCCUCUUGCUCAGGAGGAAAUCAUAGAGAUAAACCGAGACUCCAAGCAGAAUGGUGAUGCGGCCAGUGCAGCUCUGGCCAAUGAGGACUGUCCUACAAUAGACCAGGUUCUGAGUCCUGAUGAGCGGAGUCCAGCAGGACGGACGCGGGAGCGCUACCAGCAGGACCGUGCCUGUUUCCUGCUCAACACACGCGACUUCCGGCCCACUGACGGAAAUGUCCGGAAAGAGAUGGGAGCACUGGCGGCAGCCCCUGAUCCCACUACGCCAGAGCAGUGGUAUAAGCUGGAGGGUGCACUGUUACAGCAGGACCUCAAUGCUAACUCCGCCUCCUCCUGGAUCAAACCAUAGUACUGAGAGGUUGUGUCAUAUCACGCGUUUGCCGCCAGUGCAGUGCCAGUGUUUCUAAAGUGUGACUGUGGAACUUUCGCAUGCUUAACUUUAACCGUCAUCGACAGUGUUAAGUUUCUAGCAUUCACCGAUUCUUUAAAGAAGACGCAGUUAGUCUUUGUUUUCUGAGUUUGCGGACAGAGCCGCAUCCUUCCGGAUGUGAUACGUGAGGAAUGUUAGCGUGGCAAGAGGAGGUGACCGGAAGAGCAAGGGAAUCGAACGUUCCGAGGCUGGAUCUUCUCACGGUAACCAAAGAAACCUCUCGGAAUUCCGGACCCACUCCUCUUUCUACGGAAAGACUUCUUACACUGCAGCAAACUGAGUGUUUCACUCACGUCUCAAGAGAAUGACUCCUAAAGUAAGAAAAAAAAUGACAACAAUCAAAAAUGAACAAAAACAUUCCAAAAUGCAUUAUGUCUGCCGUACAAGAUUGAAGCGCCAGGAUGUUCCAGCUGCCAUGCUAAUCUGUGGCCUGGAGUUCUGGAUGUGUGUUGUUUUAUGUCUGAAAAUUAUGGACCAAGCUAGAGUAACCAUGUAGCAUCUCUGCUAACAAUUUGUAGCAUUUGUUGGUGGGGGAAACUCGCCAGCAAACUUUUUAGAGACUUUGAUAUUUAUUGACAGUUUGCACAGACUGACUAAUAAUGGCUUGGUCAUGCACUAACCUGCUUCAGUACUCCAACCUCCAUUAGCAUUUCCAAGGUUGUUAGCAUACCACUGGAUCUUGACUAUGGAAAGUAGAUUUUCGUCUACCAGAACAUCAACCCAGCAGUUGCACAUCCCUUCCCUCCUCUCAGAGAUUGAUGACCUGUGUUUAUCAGAUAUAUGGUUGCUAUUCUGACACAGUCUUCCAUUGUUUUUCAUUGGUUCAAGAAAGGCAACUUCGAAUCAUUUACGCCACCAGACCAAAGCCUUCCACAGAGACCAAAUACAGUCCAAAUGCUUUAUCUGAGGACGUGUUUCCUGGUUAACUUCUGUACAGCAGACCGUUAAGAUUUCAUUCUCCCUUUCCAUGCACACAGGUCAUCCAAUCUGCCAGGUGUAGCAGGACACCGAGUGCUCUCAGACCUCUGCCAAGCUCAAGAGUGACCGGACAGCCGCUGAGCUUGAAGAAGUUUGCAUUUCCUGCCCUAAACGUUAAUACUUGAUCGAUUUUUUUCAAAAUCAGUUUUUAGUAGUAGAGCUUAUGCUGCCGUAGUGAACACGUGCCCACAAUCAAACACUUGACUGAUCCACUGCCACAUCAUCUAGACUGACAGAACGAAAACUUGGACCAAUAAAGUGUGCAUGCUAAACUGUUAGUGAAGACAGCUUAAGGGUAUCUCAGUGCUUUGAAGACCUUUGAAGGUGUGAACAGAUCCCCCACCCUCUCAAUCUCUCUCUCUCUCUCUCUCUCUCUCUUUUCUUUUCCAUUCCCCUCUCUUUCUUUUAAUUAUGACUAUUGCAAUUUGUUCUGCUUAAUUGACUGCAAGGAGAGGGCACUUAAAAACAUGCUAAGAAUAAAUGUACAAAAAGAAACAAAUACAUAUUUUGAUAAGUGGGGUGGGGACGCGGAGAGAAGUGGAUGCAGUGCUGGUGAGAAGCAUCCCAAUGCAACAAUAAAACUGUAUCCAGAAAAGCUACCCCAGUGACACCACAACUGCCACACUGACUGACUGAGAGAAAAAAGUAAAAGACAAAAAAAGAAAAGAAAACAAAAAGGAUUCCAGCACCUUUGGUGCUUGGGCCCCUAAUUAAAGAACUUCUGAAAAAACACAAAUGAAGGAAGCAAAUGGAAUAAUGAAGCAGUCCAUUGCAGACUGGACAGUGGAAAUGUGGAGAUCCAAAGAAAAAGAUGGGAGGACUUCAAAAAAAACAAAAACAAAGGAGAGAUAGAAAGAAAAAAAAUUAUCAGAAAAUGCAUUUUUGUAAUUUUGUUUACCAGCAUGAGUACUUUGCAUGACUGUAUUUUUCUGCAAGCCCUUAGAUGAAGUGAGGAGGGCAAGAAAUACAAAAAAAUCAUAAUUAUUAUUCUAAAAACUAAUGAAUAAAAAAGAUGAUAUGCAAUGAAUUUAAGAAAAAAAGAUUAUAUUAAAAAGAGCUAUAUUUUGUUUUGAAAUAGUAAGAAAAUGUGAAUAAAUAUUGAAGUAUAUGUAUGACUGCAAGAUACACGUUGAACUAUGUUUUAUUAGUUUAAGGACAAAAAGAAAAAAAAACUUAAAAAUCCCACCAAAAUCCCACCGCUACGUACUGCCCCCGUGUAUUAUGACUUGUUUCAUGUUACAUGUUGACUUCACUCGUCUCACGGAUGCAUAUGUGCAGGCAUAGGUGUGUGAGCUGUUGUCCAGUUAGUGUCCGAACGCGGGAAGAUACUGUGUGGAAGAAGUGUCCGGUUGUAGAAUAUUACUAUUUAUUUAUUUAUUUUCCGGCUCUAGCUGCUUCUUCUGUAGCCAUGGCAACAGUGGUGCUGAUACUAGAACCCUCUGUAAGCCAGCCUCUUUCCCAGCAUGCUUUCAAGGCAAAAAAUAUAGCAUCUCAUUAACGCAGUUUGAGUCGAGUAUCUCUCAUCGGCAAUAAUAAUAAGAAGAACAAUAAUAGGAAUGUUUGCUGAGCGGAGAUUGUAGCUGGGUGAAAAAAAACGACUCUCAACAGAUGCAGUAUAUGGGUGUUCUUUUGGGCAUAGGCGGCUGUUCAUCUAGUCUCAGGUGAAAAAAAUAAAAACGGAAAGUCAGAGUGUGCCGACACUCCAAACGUCUCUCCGUCUGCGUUUGUGUCUGCCUGUCUGUCCUUUUGUCUGUCUCUCCGUCUUUCACUUUCUCCAUAUUUCAGUACGAUUCAUGAGCCCAAGUCGGAAUAACAGGCCUGGGGUUUGUCUUAACGUCUGAGGUUUACGACAACUAAAGCAGCAAUAUUAAACUACGCUCUUACAAAUGAAAGUGCCAGAAAGGGUUCUUUGGAGUGAUGCCAUGCUUUGGGUUCCAGUGGAUGGGUGUUUAAAAGCCAUUUAAUAUGAGGAACCUGGUUAAAGCUUCUGCACAAAUCAGAGUUUUUUUCCUAGAACUGCGCACUCAGGCCAAGAACCAUUUAGGAACUUUUGUUUUUAAGAAUGUAGAUGAAGCGUGGAGCUGGUGGGAAAGAAGCUUCCUCCUUCUUGCUAAUCUUGAUGUGUGCUUUCUUCCAGAAAAGUCUUCCCUCAGACCAGGGGCAUGCUGUCCUGCCCUUGGGCCAAUGCUCCAUUCUUUUGAAGGCUACUAAGGCUAACUCAUAGAGAAUUGAAGAGAUUUAGCACCGGGCAGCACUGUUAACCCUAGAGUGUACAGUGAUUCUCUUACAGAUGAAUUGCUUAAUGCGGUGGUUGGCUGUUGUGGCUCAAUAGUGAGUUGGAAUUGGGCCUGAAUCGGGCCAAAUGGGUGGUUACAUGGGCUUAUGAUUCACUCUGGAAAUCAGAAUAUUGAAAUGAAUUCAGCACUUGUUUUCACUUUUCGGUUACUGACCAUUGAUCUUCUAAUGUAGCAGUCUGCAGAUCUCUGUAGCAAUGUAUUUUGGUUGCGUGUGUUUAGCUCUUAGUGGCGAUGAAAUGAAAACUUGAACAUCAAAAAGCAUGAAAUGCAUUUUUUCAUCUCCAGUUUAGUAGAUGCAGUGCAAGAGGAUAAAGUUAAUGUUUUGGUUGCUGUGGUUAGAGAUGGGUUAGGUGUGUAGUCUCAGCCUCAGAUGCUCCGCCCACAUGGAAAAAGAGUACAUAUCUUCUGCUCACAUAUCUGGCCACAACUAAGGGGAUUUCAUCAUAUGCGUUCUGGUUGGCUGUCCGUGACACGCCAUGCAGUGUUCACUCACAAUUAAACGGGAAGGUAGUCAGCGAUAGCAAACACCUGCAUACUGGACAUUAUGACAUUUGAAAAGCUAGCCUGCAGUUCAGGUGGACACCGUUAUCAGAACACCACCAAUCAGAAAGAUCCCUCGAAUACGGCCAAGAAAUGCAGGGUACAUACUGACAUUUUCAAAGAUGCUACCAGAAUAUCCUUCAUGGUCUUCUGUGCACUUCUGCGCACACAUCUGACCCCAAGAGAGCUCAGACAGAUGAAACCAACUACUACAGUGUGUUUAAAAAGGCCAGUAAAAUAUAUAAUAAAAUAUACCAAACACUGUUUCUUUAGUUGUGUGUCUGGGGACCUAAUUGACUGCAGGGUGUGGAAUGCACCUGCUCUUACUCUCAUAUAUAUAUAUAUAUAUAUAUAUAUAUAUAUAUAUAUAUAUAUUACAUGGUUCACAGCCAAGUUUUGUUUGCCAUCAACAGUAUUUUUUCUAUGAUUUUUUUUUUUUCGAAGAAGCUCCUUUCUGUUGAUGUCACAAAGCGGCCUUGGUGGACCGUUUCCUUUUGCAUUAAGUAAUACAAAUGAGGAGCAUUCAUAGGACAGUCCUACCGAGAGCCCCCUUUUUCUCGGCUGCAACCUGGUUUUUGGAACGCAGCUAACAAGGACUGUGGGAUUUUCACAGUCACCUCUCCAUACAUUCUGUGCCAAAAUCACAGGAUGUGACUGGUUGUUUUUCAUGUCAGUCAGAAGGCCUCUUCUUGAUGAGAUGGCAGUUCUAGGCCACGUUAUGUGGUCAUUUUUUUUUAAACUCUCCCAGGAGUCUGACUUGCAAGACUAGCUGUAGCAAAGCAGCAUUUACAUUCUUAAAAAUAAGGGUUCCUUGGUAUGCCAUAGAAGAAACACCUUUGGUUUCCUACAGAGCAUUUUGUAGUGAAAUGCAAAAGUUUGAAUCUUUUGAAGCUUUGAACAAUGUAAGGGUGCAUAUUUUGCAUUUCCUUCAGUUACUUCAGUUUUUCCCCUGUGGUUCAUGUAGUAUAUCUGUGGGUUUAUGUACCAAAAACAGGCAGAAUUUAUUUUUACAUUACUAUUUUUUUAGCCUCUCUUUUGUUAGACUUUGUGUCACUUUAAGACUGACGUGUAAAUGAUCUCUGUUCUGAUUGGCUGUUGUGUUUUGUGCUCAAAAAGCAGCCUUGGCGGAAACGAAACACUCAUUAUAACUUCUGCAUAACUGGGUGGGGCUAAACAGCUUUAGGCUGAAUUGACAUGUUGGUUUUUGUGACUUCAGAACGCAGCUCUGCAGCUAAUGCAGCUUCAUUUCCAUUAAAGGACAGAAUAAUCAUGCCUGGCUAUCUCAUUCAUUCUAGAAUCUCCAGUGCUGUACAUUAAACCUGAUGUAAACAUAUCCCAGUGUUCCAAGCAAAUGAAACAGAACGAGAGACAGACAGACAGACAGAGAGUGGAGAGACAGUAGCAGAAGCAAGAAUAAGAAAGUAAAAAUGAGUAAGAAGCAGACAGGGUAAGGUGAAAUUUUCAAGGGACGGUGUGUGUGUGUUUCAGAGUGUGUAUGAGGUUUGUAGAUGCUGCUAUGAGAGAUAUUUGAUAUAUUUAUAUAUGAAUACACAGAAAUCAGUUGUGUGUUUGAUAGAUCUUUUGCUUCGUGAGUUCAUUGACAUACUGGAAGAAACAUUUACAACCCUUAAAGGAAUGCUCCAGUGUUUUUAAGCCUAACACCUACCUGCCACAGCAGGUUGAAAACCACUGACGAUAAUUUAAUGUUUCACUGUAAUGAAUAAAAGAGACAAUUGCUCAACCCCCCCCACCCAAAUGGUUUCUAUUAUAAGUGUGUAUUGAGUCCACAAUACAGAGACAGUAUUGCCCAUGGUAGUCAGUGUUGGGGUAAUGUGGAUCAAUGUAACAUGUUACAGUAAUGUAGUUACUUUUUCCUGUAACAAAUGAACUUACUACAGUUUAAAUUCUUGUAAUCACAUUACAGUUACUCAUUUAAUAGGGAUUACAUUACUUGUGUUACUCAUUUCUCUAAGAGAAUAUUAUAUGAGAAUAUUAAAUGUGAUGCGCGCACACACACACACACACACACACACACACACACACACACACACACACACAUCUUCUAAGCCGCUUCUCCCUCAGGGGGGUGCUGGAGCUACAUGUGAUGCAUUUAAAGCAUAAAUUUCCUCUAUGUAGAUUAUAUGUGCCUGUCCUUGUAUGACAGCUGGCUGUCUAAUCAUGCUAAUAUGAGACUGAUGGAUAAAGAGUAAAAACCUCACCCAAACAGGCCUGACUUCCUUUUUGUUCAGUAACACUUCUGUAAGCUUUAUGUUCAAUUCAUAAAGAUUUUAAUUCAGCUGUUGUUGAUCUGUUUAUAAUGAUUAGUUUCCCAGUUUUUAAACAACAUCAGCCGUUUCAAUAAAGCAUAGCUGGCUCGCUUGUUCAAAGGCAAGGAUACUGACGUGCUUUUUAAACAUUUACUGUGAUUGGUUAUUUCGUGCUUUUUGAAUAGCAUUCACUGUGAUUGGUUUACUGUGAUUGACACAGAUGUGUAUGGGUUUUAGAGAGUAACUUGGAAGUAAAGUAAUUCCAUUACAUUGUGAGAGAAGUAAUCAGUAAGUUGUAAUGGAUUACUUUUUCAAGUAAUACCCCCAACACUGAUGAUAAUGAGAAAUUAGGUUUAAAAAAAGCUGGAGUAUUUCUUUGAAGUGAAUCUAUGAGUGAUUUUGUUUUAUUUUCAAAAGCUUUACUUUGUAUUUUUGAACAUUUUUAUGUCUUAACUUACUGAAUGAUUCAUAUUUUAUAAAGAGUGUAUAUUGUGGAUCUGUGCUUUUGUUUUAAUACUAAAAUAUGUUUGUUUUCAUGACUGUGUUCUUUUUUUUUUUUUUGGUCUUAUUUUAGUAGGCAUUAAACCACUUUGGUCUGAGGGUCGCAAAGAGAAGCGUUAUGAAUAUUUUAGAACGUACUUCCAGCAAGAAGAAGAAAACACACUCACACAUACACACAGAAGCUUGAUGCUUUACUUCGUGACCAUAAAUAUGGUGUUAUUCUCGGGACUAAGUGCAAUCUUUCUUUCGCUUGCAUUACGUGAUAAGUUGAACUUGUUGCUGAUGCAAACCCAGACUUACGUACACUGCCCUGUUAAAAAUUCUUUCUUUGGGAAUGAUCAGUCUGCUUGUAUUUUUAAUUUUUUAAUUUUUUGGUUUUUUGAUUCACUGUGUCUUCUUUCUGUGCCUGCUGUUCUGUCUGGUGACUUAAUCAUCAGUUUCUGUGUGUACUGAAGAAUUUGAUUUGAUGUACUUGAAAUAAGGAUAUGCAAUCUUCACCACUGACCACUGCCAGCCCUCGCGAUCAAUCAACAUGAUCAGUAAUUCAUAUGAUUAAAGUGAUUGAUAACCACAUUA